AAGUCGUAACAAGGUCUCCGUAGGUGAACCUGCGGAGGGAUCAUUUCUGAAUGUGGUCUUCUCGGCCCAUCCAUUCUUCAAACCCCGUGGAAGCGACAUGAAAGUGCUUUGGCGCCUCUUGGCGUCGAACCAAAAUGCAUCGUAGCCUUCUGUCUGAUCAGAAAACUAAAUUUUAAAACUUUCAACAAAGGAUCUCUUGGCUCUC
rnacentral:misc_RNA from 1 species